rnacentral:rRNA from 1 species
CAGUCGCCGCGGUAAUACAGAGGGUGCGAGCGUUAAUCGGAUUUACUGGGCGUAAAGCGUGCGUAGGCGGCUUUUUAAGUCGGAUGUGAAAUCCCCGAGCUUAACUUGGGAAUUGCAUUCGAUACUGGUUAGCUAGAGUGUGGGAGAGGAUGGUAGAAUUCCAGGUGUAGCGGUGAAAUGCGUAGAGAUCUGGAGGAAUACCGAUGGCGAAGGCAGCCAUCUGGCCUAACACUGACGCUGAGGUACGAAAGCAUGGGGAGCAAACAGGAUUAGAUACCCCAGUAGUCCCUGUCUCUUAUAC